rnacentral:rRNA from 1 species
CUAACUGGAGGACCGAACCGACUAAUGUUGAAAAAUUAGCGGAUGACUUGUGGCUGGGGGUGAAAGGCCAAUCAAACCGGGAGAUAGCUGGUUCUCCCCGAAAGCUAUUUAGGUAGCGCCUCGUGAAUUCAUCUCCGGGGGUAGAGCACUGUUUCGGCAAGGGGGUCAUCCCGACUUACCAACCCGAUGCAAACUGCGAAUACCGGAGAAUGUUAUCACGGGAGACACACGGCGGGUGCUAACGUCCGUCGUGAAGAGGGAAACAACCCAGACCGCCAGCUAAGGUCCCAAAGUCAUGGUUAAGUGGGAAACGAUGUGGGAAGGCCCAGACAGCCAGGAUGUUGGCUUAGAAGCAGCCAUCAUUUAAAGAAAGCGUAAUAGCUCACUGGUCGAGUCGGCCUGCGCGGAAGAUGUAACGGGGCUAAACCAUGCACCGAAGCUGCGGCAGCGACACUAUGUGUUGUUGGGUAGGGGAGCGUUCUGUAAGCCUGUGAAGGUGUACUGUGAGGUAUGCUGGAGGUAUCAGAAGUGCGAAUGCUGACAUAAGUAACGAUAAAGCGGGUGAAAAGCCCGCUCGCCGGAAGACCAAGGGUUCCUGUCCAACGUUAAUCGGGGCAGGGUGAGUCGACCCCUAAGGCGAGGCCGAAAGGCGUAGUCGAUGGGAAACAGGUUAAUAUUCCUGUACUUGGUGUUACUGCGAAGGGGGGACGGAGAAGGCUAUGUUGGCCGGGCGACGGUUGUCCCGGUUUAAGCGUGUAGGCUGGUUUUCCAGGCAAAUCCGGAAAACUAAGGCUGAGGCGUGAUGACGAGGCACUACGGUGCUGAAGCAACAAAUGCCCUGCUUCCAGGAAAAGCCUCUAAGCAUCAGGUAACAUCAAAUCGUACCCCAAACCGACACAGGUGGUCAGGUAGAGAAUACCAAGGCGCUUGAGAGAACUCGGGUGAAGGAACUAGGCAAAAUGGUGCCGUAACUUCGGGAGAAGGCACGCUGAUAUGUAGGUGAAGUCCCUCGCGGAUGGAGCUGAAAUCAGUCGAAGAUACCAGCUGGCUGCAACUGUUUAUUAAAAACACAGCACUGUGCAAACACGAAAGUGGACGUAUACGGUGUGACGCCUGCCCGGUGCCGGAAGGUUAAUUGAUGGGGUCAGCGCAAGCGAAGCUCUUGAUCGAAGCCCCGGUAAACGGCGGCCGUAACUAUAACGGUCCUAAGGUAGCGAAAUUCCUUGUCGGGUAAGUUCCGACCUGCACGAAUGGCGUAAUGAUGGCCAGGCUGUCUCCACCCGAGACUCAGUGAAAUUGAACUCGCUGUGAAGAUGCAGUGUACCCGCGGCAAGACGGAAAGACCCCGUGAACCUUUACUAUAGCUUGACACUGAACAUUGAGCCUUGAUGUGUAGGAUAGGUGGGAGGCUUUGAAGUGUGGACGCCAGUCUGCAUGGAGCCGACCUUGAAAUACCACCCUUUAAUGUUUGAUGUUCUAACGUUGACCCGUAAUCCGGGUUGCGGACAGUGUCUGGUGGGUAGUUUGACUGGGGCGGUCUCCUCCUAAAGAGUAACGGAGGAGCACGAAGGUUGGCUAAUCCUGGUCGGACAUCAGGAGGUUAGUGCAAUGGCAUAAGCCAGCUUGACUGCGAGCGUGACGGCGCGAGCAGGUGCGAAAGCAGGUCAUAGUGAUCCGGUGGUUCUGAAUGGAAGGGCCAUCGCUCAACGGAUAAAAGGUACUCCGGGGAUAACAGGCUGAUACCGCCCAAGAGUUCAUAUCGACGGCGGUGUUUGGCACCUCGAUGUCGGCUCAUCACAUCCUGGGGCUGAAGUAGGUCCCAAGGGUAUGGCUGUUCGCCAUUUAAAGUGGUACGCGAGCUGGGUUUAGAACGUCGUGAGACAGUUCGGUCCCUAUCUGCCGUGGGCGCUGGAGAACUGAGGGGGGCUGCUCCUAGUACGAGAGGACCGGAGUGGACGCAUCACUGGUGUUCGGGUUGUCAUGCCAAUGGCACUGCCCGGUAGCUAAAUGCGGAAGAGAUAAGUGCUGAAAGCAUCUAAGCACGAAACUUGCCCCGAGAUGAGUUCUCCCUGACUCCUUGAGAGUCCUGAAGGAACGUUGAAGACGACGACGUUGAUAGGCCGGGUGUGUAAGCGCAGCGAUGCGUUGAGCUAACCGGUACUAAUGAACCGUGAGGCUUAACCUUACAACGCCGAAGGUGUUU